UCUUUUAUAAUUUAAAAUAGAAUAUUGUGUUGAAGGUACAAAAGAGAUAUAAAUAUCUAAAAGAG
rnacentral:tRNA from 1 species